rnacentral:rRNA from 1 species
CCUACGGGAGGCAGCAGUAGGGAAUGUUCGUCAAUGGGCGCAAGCCUGAACGAGCAAUGCCGCGUGAACGAGGAAGGUCUUCGGAUCGUAAAGUUCUGUUGAAGGGGAAAAAGAGCGGAGAGAGGAAAUGCUUUCUGAUUGAUAUUACCCUUCGAGGAAGGCACGGCUAACUACGUGCCAGCAGCCGCGGUAAUACGUAGGUGGCGAGCGUUAUCCGGAAUGAUGGGGCGUAAAGGGUGCGUAGGCGGCCUGCUAAGUCUGGAGUUAAAGGUACCGGCUCAACCGGUACAGGCUCUGGAAACUGGCGGGCUAGAGAGCAGGAGAGGGCGGUGGAACUCCAUGUGUAGCGGUCCACUGCGUUGAUAUAUGCAAGAACACCAGUGGCGAAGGCGGCCGCCUGGCCUUUUCCUGACGCUGAGGCACG